GACCGCGCCUGGCCACGCCCACGGGCCUGAGUGCUCGGCCUUGGUAGUUGUUGAUGGUGAGUGAUCUUCCUAGUCCUCUGAAUCCAUCAACUUAAGCUGUUACUAAAAAUACAGAAAGGUGACUUAAAAAAAAAAAAAACCCUAAAGAUUCCAGAUGCCGGGGACCUGAAAAGGACAAGGGAUGAAGGGACCUGGUUCGGGUCUCUGUAAUAAGCCCUACAGGCUGUGUCCUCCUAGCCAGCGAUGGCUUCUCAGCUUCCUACCAGAAGGGUGUAGGGCGUGCAGCUGUGCCCCGAGGCCUCAUACUUCGAAACUUCAUUUGCAUUGGCUUUUUAGGUGGACCAGGUUUAGAAUUUCUACUCCAGUCCUGGCAAAGACCCUGAAAAGCAAGCUAAAGGUGCACACACGCUUGCUUUGCAGUCCCCUGGUAAAGUUUGUGGCGGUCCUGUGCCCUAGGGAACUACAUCUGAUUUCCUUACACAUCGUUUACUGGACUCAGGUGUUAAGACUUUCUGGAGGAACUUUUGUUCCAACCCAGAAAGACAGAAUGGUUGUCCUACCCGCGGGGCUUGCGGCUGCUACUACCCACACUCCACACCGUCACUCCAUAAAUAAAAGCUACUGUAAUAAUCAUGAGUUCUGAUCUGCACAUCCCCGAUCUCAACUGCUAAUCCAAACAAAAGCUUGUUAACUGUAUUAAUUUAGCCUCACAGAGGGAGAAUAAUGAGAAUAAACAGUCGGUUCUACCUAAUUUCUCACUAGCGCGAACACAUCAUUCUUCAUCUCUAUGGUCCAGCCUGUAGAUUCCAUAAUUAAAUUAUGUACUGCUCUUGGUGGAUACCAGGAAAGCAAAGGGGGGAAAUAUUUCAUUGUUAGCUAUAGAUUUUUUUUUUUUUGGCCUUGAUAAAACUCAGGCUUGAAAGAGCCACAUACAUUAAAGUGAUGAUUUUUUAAUGUCAAGUUAACUUUAGUUGACUAUCACGUUGUCACUAAAAUUCAUUAUGUCCCGAGCGAGUGGUUUCUCUUCCUCCGUCCACUGCAUGGUCUCUGUCACCCUCAUCAAUAGUCCUUGGGCCUUGUUGGGUUCAUUUCUCUUCUUACCAACAUCCAACUAAUACAUCACCAGUUGCUGCUGGUCCUUCAACCACAGCAUCAUUAAGCUUUCUUCCUUCCUCUGCCGAGUAAAGACUGUCAUACAUAAUUUAGUUACUUCUCAUCGUUCUCCAUUUUGGUCAGCUCACACACUCCUCCUCUGCAAUAAAUUCAGGACCCUGCUUGCUGCAAACAAGUUACCCUCACUGUUGCUACAUUCUGCUGAAAGCCCUCCUCUCAAAGAGGGCAUCAUCAUUCAUAAUCCAGGAAACGCUCCUGAUUCAUGGUUUCACAACUAGAGGUUUUCAAAUUUUCUGCACCAACAGUAAAACCAGACAGCCAAGUGAGAAAAAUGCCUGCCUUCCCAUGUCUUGCUCAUUAACACCUUGUAACUCCAAGCGUGACUGUAAGUGUUAAAUCUCUUGCUAAUACCUUACAUUUUGGCUUAUAAUUUGAGGCUCUUGCUUCACCCACCACAUAGACAUAGAGGUUUGCUCUAUUUUCAGCCAUAUCUAGAUUUCAGCUCCCUAGGCAAGGUGAGGGGAUGUCACAAGGGAUAAACAGCAUCAAUAUGGUCCCAAGGGCUCUCUGGUCAGACUUUGGCCCACUCCUCUGCUUAUGGAACAUCAGGUUAUCUGUAUAUUACAUUACUUAGAAUGUAUUUCAGUACUUCAGGAGUGUGGGGGCCCCAGACUGAAAAGACCAGUCAAAGUAAAAUUCUUCUGAGGCUACCCGGAAAGGGACUUGGAUCGCAUUCAUAGAUAUUGGUCCUACCAAGAUACCACCUAACAAUUCUCCUACCUCUUUUGUUUGCCAAGAAGGGAAGUUUUUCUUUUUAACCAAAGAAACAGAGGCGGAAGUAUAGGAAGUAGUCAAUAUGCACGUCAAGUUUGUUAUGGGGGGAGAACACAGGGCUUUAGUCGGGCCAGACUAUGAAUUACUUCAUAGUACCCUAGUGACCUUCGAAGCAUACUUACCUGGGCUUCUGUUGAAUUAAUGGUAUGCAUUUAAUCAUUUUGAAGAAAUAAUUUUCUACCAUAUACUAGUGCUGCAAGAAUCACAAUACACAAACAGUUCUUGUUACUACCUGGUAAAUGAAGAAUAAAUGAACUUUGAUGCUGCAUUUAACAUGUGAAUGUUCUAAGUAGCUCAUUGAAAUAUUCUUCUUUUUACUUGAGUCUGUCGGUCUGUCUAUCUAUCCACCUACUUAACCUCUCUCUCCAACCAUCUGUCUCUGUCAUUUACUUUGAGCAAGGGUCUUGGGUAUCCAGGCUGGCCUAUAAUUUACUUCGUUGCUGAGAUGACCUUCAUCUUCCUGACUCUACCUUCCCGGUGCUGGGAGUACAGAUUUGUCAAGCAGCGCGUAGGCUUUCAGUGUCGUGCGAGAAGAGAUAAUGCCUCGUGUGGAACCGCCACUUACGCUGCGUCUGCGGAAGUGCCGCCCUGAACAGACGUGACCAGAUGGCUGGUUUUACAGAAAUAUGAAUGAUCUCAUUAAACACACCCUCCGCUCUGGGGUCACCAUGGAUCUCCUGAGAGGUCAUGGACAAGAUGAGGAAAUACCAGCCCUGGAAGAUUGCUGGCCUUGCCGCAGUCCACACCGCUGGUCUGCGAGAUUUCUCUCCCAUCCCACUCUCGCAGACUCUAUGCAUCAAACCGCAGCCCUUCACUGCUGCGGAUGGACGCCCCUGUGGAAGGAACCGUGUGAAGACUUCAAGGAACAGAAGGUCAAAUCGGCCUCCGUGCGCUCUCUUUGUCUAAGAGAGACCGAUGUCAUGUGUUUGCAAUAUUAAUGAUUAAGUAGCAACGAAAGAGGUGUCCCCAAACAGAGCAGGAUUACUUGGAGGUUCGGGGUGUCUUCUGCAUCAAAAGCAAAGCCCCUACUGCCUAUCUAAACAGUAGGCUAUGAGCACAGGGCUACCCCUACUCCGCUCAGUAUCGCUUUUUAACAUCCUAAACAAUUCAUAAGCCACCUUCACUGGACCAGAGCGGGUACGCAUAAAAUAACCAAGACAGAAAGAAUAAGAGCAGACAUAGAGAUCAUUCGCAUUUUAAUUGUGAUGGCAUGUGCCUAUAAUUCAAAGAGGCUGGGGGCUGGAGGAUCAUGAGUUCAAAGCCACCCUGGGCUAAUCAAUACCUUUAAAUUAAGCCAGCCUAGAUUACAUAGAAAGACUCUGUCUCAGAAGAAAAAGGACAAAUAAAAAUAAUUGAGCCGGGCGGUGGUGGCGCACGCCUUUAAUCCCAGCACUCGGGAGGCAGAGCAAGGCGGAUCUCUGUGAGUUCGAGGCCAGCCUGGUCUCCAAAGCGAGUUCCAGGAAAGGCACAAAGCUACACAGAGAAACCCUGUCUCGAAAAAC